AUCAAUUGCCAAAACAUUUGGGCGGUGACUAAGAGAAAACCAAAGAGAAAUCCCCUGCCAAAAUCUGCCAAGUCUAAGCGGUGACCGAGAGAAAACAAGGAGAAAUCAUCUGCUAAAAUAUUUGGACGGUGGCCGAGAGGAGAAGCAAAGCUUCAAUUCCUUUUCUUUCCAACCCAACACUAAGAGAAAAAGCUGAGAGUGGGAGAGAAAGCUUGGUUAGCUUCAUGGCCAACUAACCAAAGACAAGAAAGAUUACCGCAAGGAAGUAGGAGAAGCUGGAGUUAGGACUUGAGGAACUGAAACAGAAACUUGAGCAGCCUGCAACAUCGAACCUUAGGAGGAAGAGGGGGUAGCUGUGAGCCAGGAAGCUAACCCGAGGCUCAAGAGUGAUUUAUUUGGAAUUAGGUGAGUGUUCUUAAGUUGCUUGUACUUGUUAUUUGUUGAAUGUGCUUGAUUAUUCGAGGUGAAUGCAAAGGUUGGUGUGUACUUCACUGCAACUGCCUUUUGAAUUGAAAUGAAUGUUAUUUGACUGUGCAUGAACGAUUGUAGACUGCGUGAACCUUGUUUCAUCAGUCGAAUUGGGCCCUAAGCCUUGGCAAGCUACUCUAGUCGAGCCAGUAAAGGACUUGGUCGAUUAGGUUGGCUACCUUGUGCAAUUGAAUGGUAUACUCGAGUAUUACCGGGAAGAGUGGGGAUUGUUUAUUGUUUAUUGAAUGUCGGAGAUUGUUUAUUGUUUUGGAGGUUAUAAGGGGAAAGAAUGAUGGAGUGAGAAGAAGUUGUAUCCUUUUAAAUGAGUGUUUACUCUAUUGAAUUGCUCUACUAGUUGGUUAUACACAAGAACUGUUUUGUAAUGUUUAUGAUUGUAUACUUUUGAACCUCACUGAGCUUUAGUUCAACCAUUUAGUUUGUUUUCCUUAAAGGAAUUGGUGGUCGGGGAAUGAGCGAGUUAUCUUAAGGAGUUAGUGUGAAGAACUUUUGUGGUGUAAAUAUUGUGUUUAUAACUUCCUUUGUAUCAUAUUACGGUUGGAAACUGUUGUACUAAACAUGAUGCCAUAACAAAUUGAACGUAUGGUUUUAGUACAUAAAAAUGUUAUCUC